AGUAAAUUGGUUAAGUUAGAAAGGGCGCACGGUGGAUGCCUUGGCACUAGGAGCCGAAGAAGGACGGGACUAACACCGAUAUGCUUUGGGGAGCUGUACGUAAGCGUUGAUCCAGAGAUUUCCGAAUGGGGGAACCCACUAUCUUUAGUCGGAUAGUAUCCUUACGUGAAUACAUAGCGUAAGGAAGGCAGACCCAGGGAACUGAAACAUCUAAGUACCUGGAGGAAGAGAAAGAAAAAUCGAUUUCCUGAGUAGCGGCGAGCGAAACGGAAAGAGCCCAAACCAAGAAGCUUGCUUCUUGGGGUUGUAGGACACUCUAUACGGAGUUACAAAAGAAAGUUAUAAAUGAAGCGGUCUGGAAAGGCCCGCCAAAGACGGUAACAGCCCGGUAGUUGAAAUGGCUUUCCCUCCAGAGUGGAUCCUGAGUACGGCGGAACACGU
rnacentral:rRNA from 1 species